CACGUAGGGUGCGAGCGUUGUCCGGAAUUAUUGGGCGUAAAGAGCUCGUAGGCGGUUUGUUGCGUCGGCUGUGAAAUCCCGAGGCUCAACCUCGGGUCUGCAGUCGAUACGAGCAAACUAGAGUGUUGCAGGGGAGACUGGAAUUCCUGGUGUAGCGGUGAAAUGCGCAGAUAUCAGGAGGAACACCGAUGGCGAAGGCAGGUCUCUGGGCCAUAACUGACGCUGAGAAGCGAAAGCAUGGGGAGCGAACAGG
rnacentral:rRNA from 1 species